rnacentral:rRNA from 1 species
UACGAAGGUCCCAAGCGUUGUUCGGAAUCACUGGGCGUAAAGGGAGCGUAGGCGGCGUGGUAAGUCAGAUGUGAAAUCCCGGGGCUCAACCCCGGAACGUGCAUCCGACUACUGCCAUGCUAGAGGAUUGGAGAGGUAGCUAGGAAUUCUUGGGUGUAGCAGUGAAAUGCGUAGAGAUCAAGAGGAACACUCGUGGCGAAAGCGAGCUACUGGACAAUUCCUGACGCUGAGGCUCGAAAGG